rnacentral:rRNA from 1 species
UACAGAGGGUGCUAGCGUUGUUCGGAAUCAUUGGGCGUAAAGGGCGUGUAGGCGGUUUGUUAAGUCAUGUGUGAAAUCCCUCGGCUCAACCGGGGAACGACGCAUGAAACUGGCAGCUAGAGUACCAAAGAGGGGGGUGGAAUCCCGGUGUAGCGGUGAAAUGCGUAGAUAUCGGGAGGAACACCUGUGGCGAAGGCGGCCCCCUGGUUGGAUACUGACGCUGAUACGCGAAAGCGUGGGGAGCAACAGG